UCCAUCCCAAAGAGCUGUUGAUACCAUCCUACACCAGCAACGUUUACUUCCACUGUCAUAGGGACCAGUGUGACUGGCAAACUGGCACCAUCUUCAUCUUCCCAAACAGGAAAAGGGAACAGCAGCCAAUAAAAGCCACCUCAGUGCAUCUCCAGCUCUGCAGAUGGAUGGCCACUCCUGCUGCAGAGGACAGCCAGCAGGUGUCAUUUCGCUCCUGCAAGAACAGCACAGCAUUACUCACAUCUGCUCUGCCUGCAACCCUCAUCCUUCCAUCAGGGCUGCAGUUCAGCAAAAGGGAUCCUGUUACCUGUGUUGGAAGCUGGCUGUUCCUGCUCAGAAAGGAAUCUCUGCAAGGACUCUCCUUGUGGGGCUUCCCUUGAGCCAUCACAGCUGCCCCCUGAAGCGAUUCCUCCCUGACAAUUUCCCACAUCCCAGAAAUCUCAAGUGCUGCAAUCAGAAGUCAGAACCAUCCAAAAGGAAGGAAUAAAGAGCAUUAGGACCUGCAAGCAGCAGCAUCACUGGUUUAUACAAUGGUACAACUCCUACAACUGCCGUUCAUG
rnacentral:lncRNA from 1 species